rnacentral:rRNA from 1 species
GAUGAACGCUAGCGGGAGGCUUAACACAUGCAAGCCGAGGGGUAUAGUUCUUUCGGGAACUAGAGACCGGCGCACGGGUGCGUAACGCGUAUGCAACUUGCCCUACUGAAAAGGAUAGCCCUUCGAAAGGAGGAUUAAUACUUUAUAACAGAUUUAAUGGCAUCAUUAGAUUUUGAAAGAUUUAUCGCAGUUGGAUAGGGCUGCGUAAGAUUAGUUAGUUGGUGAGGUAACGGCUCACCAAGACGAUGAUCUUUAGGGGGCCUGAGGGGGUGAACCCCCAGACUGGUACUGAGACACGGACCAGACUCCGACGGGAGGCAGGAGUGAGGAAUACUGGACGAGGGGUGGAAGCCGGAUCCAGCCAUGCCGCGUGUAGGAUGACUGCCUUAGGGAUUGUAAGCUACUUGUAUCUGAGGAUAAACCUACUUACGUGUAAGUAGCUGAAGGUACCAGAAGAGUAAGCACCGGCUAACUCCGUG